rnacentral:rRNA from 1 species
AACGAACGCUGGCGGCAGGCCUAACACAUGCAAGUCGAACGCUCGUAGCAAUACGGGAGUGGCAGACGGGUGAGUAACGCGUGGGAACGUACCCUUUGGCUCGGAACAACUCCGGGAAACUGGAGCUAAUACCGGAUGAGCCCUACGGGGGAAAGAUUUAUCGCCGAAGGAACGGCCCGCGUCGGAUUAGCUAGUUGGUGAGGUAACGGCUCACCAAGGCGACGAGCCGUAGCUGGUCUGAGAGGAUGAUCAGCCACACUGGGACUGAGACACGGCCCAGACUCCUACGGGAGGCAGCAGUGGGGAAUAUUGGACAAUGGGCGCAAGCCUGAUCCAGCAUGCCGCGUGAGUGAUGAAGGCCUUAGGGUUGUAAAGCUCUUUCGCCAGGGACGAUAAUGACGGUACCUGGAUAAGAAGCCCCGGCUAACUUCGUGCCAGCCGCCGCGGUAA